ACUCUCUUAGUAUAUCGCAGUACAGUUGACUUCCAAUCAGCCAG
rnacentral:tRNA from 1 species